AAGGGCUGACCACCACUAAGGCAGCAUCUCUUGGAGACUGAUUUUUGGUGAGGAUUGCCUCAGUGGUUCUCAGCAGCCCAAAGGCUUCCAUACGGAGAUAGAAGUGUCUAGGAAGGAGAAUGUAAAGCCAUUUGAAAACUGAAUUACCAGGACUAAAAGGGAUUGCAUCAUCUGCCUGUAUUUCACAGCUUGGGCAGCAGGGGAAAGGAAUGGAAUAAAUCAACAUGUUGCUUUUAUCAACUAAACCUUUGUGAUGUGGCCUGGUCAGAAGAAUUUUAUAUUCCCUUUAUCUAAGCCGUCUGUAAAGAACGUCUCAUCCCCUUUUUCUUCUCAAGGAUUUUUUUUAAAGGCAUUCCAAAUCACUUUAUCAGAACGAGUGAUAAGGGAAAAGGCUGUUUUCAACAGUUUGCAAGACUUAGAGCCCCUCGUCUCAAAGCAGAGAGAUCUAACAGCUUACAUGAAGUAAUUUGAAAGCUGCCUCAAUCUGAAAUUUCAGCGGGGCUUGUCCCUCUUUCUUCAGGGAGUGCUGUCCACCCCAAACACAGCCACCCUUCCUAUACUCUAAUGUGGACUCACAGAGAGGGGAGUCUGCCCAGUGCUACUUAGAGCUGAAGGGUGCAGAGGGGAGUAAGAAGCUAUUUGUGGUAGCAAGGACAACUGUUUGAGAAAAAUCGCAGGGCUGUGAGGUCCGGUUUUAGCAGACAAAAGUAUUUUCAGCUCUUCUAAUGUCAUAAAGCAUGGAGCAGUGACUGCAUUUUCAGUUUUCACCAAGGAUUGCCUCGUCCCAUUUGUAUAUUACUGCUGUUUUUUGUGUUUGUCAGUAUUUCCUUAAAAUGUGAUUGGAUUUUUUUAUAUUCCAGGAGGAAAAAAGUACAGUAAAAAGGAAAGUUCUGCUUGACUUUUGAGACCGCCCUGACUGCUCUCAGAGUACAUGCUGCACAUUUAAUGCAGUUGGACCCUUUUGAUCCCUUUUUAGUGAAGCCUCUCAUUGGCUUUCCAGAUGACAAGAUCAGGGAUAGGGUUUGUUGUUGCUGGGUUUUGUUUCCCCCUUAGGCAGACUGGUGCAUAUUAGCUAAAGAUCCUAAAUCAAAAAGCAAAAACUUCCUGUCAAUCCUUUAAGCUUGAAAAUACAUUCUGAUACUGGAAGAUGAGUAGGUAGGGAAUUAUUUAAUCUCUCAGAGUGGCUUCUGGAUCAAACAAUUCCUUUUACAGACUUACAACAAGGCUGUAUUUUGGAGUGAGGUUGCUGUAGUGUUUCUGCCCUCACCCAGGCCACUGCUGAAGCUGAUGGCGGCUAGAGGAGUGGACCUUUGGAGGGCAAAGGGGAAUGAAACCACCAUCUGCCAAGAGACAGAUACCCACUUUGCUGCUAAGUGCUAGAUGGCUGUCUGCUGUGCUGCUGGGCAGCAAUGGAAGAAACUUGGCUAUGCAAAUAGUCAGCAUCUUUUUUUUUCUUCAUUAUAGCCCCAGAGUUCUGAAAGGGCAGUGAAAAUUGAGCUGCUCUUAUGACUGAAAAAGAAUGGGAUUACAAGAAGCCUCUGUGGAAAUCGCUUUCUUUGAAUAGUUCUAGGUACUGAAGGAUUCAACUCUGAGUCAUUCAUAUUCUUGUCAACAUUUGAUAACCCAUUGACAUCUGCAGGCUGAGGUUUGCAGGUCUCUGUUUUGGUUUGGAUUUGCUAAGGAAAUUACUUUGUGUUGUGAUUGGAAACUCACGUUUGAAGUGUUUCUUAAAAACACAGUUCUAUGUAUUUAUAAUUUGUUUAAAAGUCCUUAUGUGUGUUAUUAAAUAAGGCCUUAGAAGAUUAAAGCAAAUGGUUUCACGUGGUGAAUUUAAUUGUAGCUUUUGUGGCUUUAUUCAGUUUUGCUUUUGUACCUCUCAGCCUGGCUAACAAGAAUUAGGUAUGUUUUCCUUUUCUGAUAUGCAAUUGCAUGUUCCUUGUUUGGGACACAUUUUUUUCUUCUUUUUUUCUUUGUUUUCUUUUUACUUUAGAGGUUGACUCGUCAUUUUUUGAAGGAGUAGACUUUUCACUUUCCUCUGCCUUGUUGCAAACUGUGUUCCAGUGUCCAGUUUAACCUGAUGAUGUUAUUUUAGAUGUAGGCUUUGUUAAAUAUCUACAAGCAAAUUAAAGUUGUUCAUAUAAGUGAGACAUUUUCUUGAGAGUUUGGCUUUCAGCACCAGAGAUGCAGGAAAAGAGCACCAGAUGCUUUACUGUGUUGGAAGAACACUGAACUGCCAGCAAAGUGGAAGAUACCUUCACAUAAAAUAAACAUGCUUGCAAAAAAACUUUCAGCAGUAUCCUUUGCAUUUAGUUCACUUUGCUGAGAAAGGAAGUGUUUACUUGAGAAAGCAUCUGGAUUUUAUUGUUUUCUAAUUCACUGUGGACAGCCCAAUGGAGUCUGGAACCAGUUAGAAUGUCACAACCUUUCAUUGUCAUAUGCAAUGUGGAAAUGAAAUAAAGAGAGAUCCAACUUUCAGGCUGCAUUGCCCGACCUCCUAAGUUUGCUAUGCUCUUCCUUCAUUAAAAAAAUCCCUCUUGGAACAAAUACAAAUGUAUAGUGAUGGCCUUCAAAUGCUUCUUUGUUCCUCUGAACACUCCCUUGUAAGCUUUGGUCAGGUUUCCCUGGACUGGGUAAAUGUGAUUGUACCUGGGUAAAA